rnacentral:tRNA from 1 species
GCGUCAUUGGUCUAGUGGUAGAAUUCAUCGUUGCCAAACUUCAGUUGUUGAAUCGAACGUAUGCUGAAUAUUUCCGAUUUUCGAUGAGGCCCGUGUUCGAUUCACGGAUGACGCA